rnacentral:rRNA from 1 species
AACGAACGCUGGCGGCAUGCCUAACACAUGCAAGUCGAACGAGACCUUCGGGUCUAGUGGCGCACGGGUGCGUAACGCGUGGGAACCUGCCUUUAGGUUCGGAAUCACUCCCCGAAAGGGGUGCUAAUACCGGAUAAUGUCUUCGGACCAAAGAUUUAUCGCCUUUGGAUGGGCCCGCGUUGGAUUAGCUAGUUGGUAGGGUAAAAGCCUACCAAGGCGACGAUCCAUAGCUGGUCUGAGAGGAUGAUCAGCCACACUGGGACUGAGACACGGCCCAGACUCCUACGGGAGGCAGCAGUGGGGAAUAUUGGACAAUGGGCGAAAGCCUGAUCCAGCAAUGCCGCGUGAGUGAUGAAGGCCUUAGGGUUGUAAAGCUCGUUUACCCGGGAUGAUAAUGACAGUACCGGGAGAAUAAGCUCCGGCUAACUCCGUG